UUUUGGUAAGGUUUUGGCUUGGCUUUGGUGGAAGGAAGACAAAACAAAGCUUUGGUCUUCUAUGGUGUAAGCUACGGCAAUUGUGUGAUGGAGAAGAUGAAAAUCCCUUUUUCACUUUGCUUUAUCAUUUCUCCUUUCCUUAGUUAGGUGACACAUGGAAAGUAAAUCUAAAUUUUUAUGUUUUAACUUUCCAUAUUUAUACUUUGACCUACUAAACUCUUUCCAAUGUUUCAAUUUAGUUUUUAAACUUUCAAUAAUCAUAGAUUGACCUACUAAACUAUACAUAUAGCCUUUAGAAGCCCUUUUCACUUAAGCAAGCAUGACGGAUAUAAACAAGCACCUCAAGCAAGCACGUCGGGAAACCCUAAGCACCUCCCGAAAGUGACUCGUUCCCGACUCGCUAAUCACACUGUCUGCUUUAUUUCUGGAUAUGUCCGUUUCUUUAUUUAAGUUUUCUAUGAUUCAGUUAUUAGCAGAUUAGAGUUAAGCUAGCACCUCCCCUAAUGCCCCUUACUCUAGGAAUGAAAUAGCCU
rnacentral:lncRNA from 1 species